rnacentral:rRNA from 1 species
AGUGAACGCUGGCGGUAGGCCUAACACAUGCAAGUCGAACGGCAGCACAGUAAGAGCUUGCUCUUACGGGUGGCGAGUGGCGGACGGGUGAGGAAUACAUCGGAAUCUACUUUUUCGUGGGGGAUAACGUAGGGAAACUUACGCUAAUACCGCAUACGACCUACGGGUGAAAGCAGGGGAUCUUCGGACCUUGCGCGAUUGAAUGAGCCGAUGUCGGAUUAGCUAGUUGGCGGGGUAAAGGCCCACCAAGGCGACGAUCCGUAGCUGGUCUGAGAGGAUGAUCAGCCACACUGGAACUGGGACACGGUCCAGACUCCUACGGGAGGCAGCAGUGGGGAAUAUUGGACAAUGGGCGCAAGCCUGAUCCAGCCAUACCGCGUGGGUGAAGAAGGCCUUCGGGUUGUAAAGCCCUUUUGUUGGGAAAGAAAAGCAGCGGGUUAAUACCCCGCUGUUCUGACGGUACCCAAAGAAUAAGCACCGGCUAACUUCGUG